UGGCGGACGGGUGAGUAAUGUCUGGGAAACUGCCUGAUGGAGGGGGAUAACUACUGGAAACGGUAGCUAAUACCGCAUAACGUCGCAAGACCAAAGAGGGGGACCUUGGGCCUCUUGCCAUCGGAUGUGCCCAGAUGGGAUUAGCUAGUAGGUGGGGUAACGGCUCACCUAGGCGACGAUCCCUAGCUGGUCUGAGAGGAUGACCAGCCACACUGGAACUGAGACACGGUCCAG
rnacentral:rRNA from 1 species